rnacentral:rRNA from 1 species
CAAUAGCGUAUAUUAAAGUUGUUGCAGUUAGAACGCUCGUAGUCGGAUUUCGGGGCGGGCCGACCGGUCUGCCGAUGGGUAUGCACUGGUCGGCGCGUCCUUCCUUCCGGAGACCGUCCCUACUCUUAACUGCGGGGGCGGGAGACGGGACUUUUACUUUGAAAAAAUCAGAGUGUUUCAAGCAGGCAGCUCGCUCUUGCAUGGAUUAGCAUGGGAUAAUGAAAUAGGACUUUGGUGCUAUUUUGUUGGUUUCGAACACCGAAGUAAUGAUGAGAAGGGACAGUCAGGGGCACUCGUAUUCCGCCGAGAGAGGUGAAAUUCUCAGACCAGCGGAAGACGAACCACUGCGAAAGCAUCUGCCAGGGAUGUUUUCACUGA